rnacentral:lncRNA from 1 species
AUGCAAGUUCGAUGCUCAGCACCGAUAAUGGACAUUGUCAGUGUCACAGAGGGCAGAGGUGUUGAUGCCAAGAACACUCCCUAUAUAGGAAUGUCCUGCACGGUAAUCUCCAUCAGAGUGUGCAAGGAGUUAACGGCAAUAAAAGCAUCCCAGAUACACAUUCUUUUAUAUGGGCUUGGCACCUUUUUCCAAAUAGUAUCUCUUUGCAUAGCAAGGAUUUUAAUACUUAUUUAGAACUCAAAUCUUUCCUUUUUUUGGGGCCUUAGCUAUAUAACACAAAUGAAAAAUGAAAAUCUUAAAUUAAUUCAAGACUAAUUUCAGGCAGUGUCUUAUAGGUUUCAUCUGAGACUAGUUUCUGAGUGACCUAACUGAAAACCCAAAUCUCCUACUUGCUAGUGGGGGACAUUAGAGAUCUUCUUAACCUCUUUGACCUUCAGCAUCUUCAUCUACAAAAAAGGGAUAAUAUUAGUACCUAUACACAGGGCUAUUGUGAGAAUUAAAUACAAGAAUAUAUUUAGAACAGUCAGCACAGUGCCUAGAGCAUAAUAUAUGCUUAAUUAUGACAAGCUAUUCGUAUCUAGUCUUAGUUUACCUUUUAGCCUGAUUUAUUCUUACUUCCCAUAUUGACAAACUUGGCUAACUUGCUGCCCAAUUACACAAUCCUGUGCUCUCACACUGGAAACAUUUUUCCUUUACAUAUUUUGCUCAUCCUUCAGGAUCGACCUCAACUGAAUUCUCCUUAGGAAUUCUUGGUACCUCUAUCUGGGUAAAAGAUGUCCCUCUCCCGAGUCUCAUAACAAUUUACCUUCACUUGUUAUAUGACAUCUUCAUGUCAUCUGUGCUACUAGAUUGUAAGCAGCUCAAAGUCAAGUCCCAUGUCUGGUUUAUCUUUAUAUUCACUGAAGCACUUGCACAGUUCUCUGCAUAAACUAAAAGCUCGAUAAAUAUUCAUUGCAUAACUGCAUGAAUGAGUUAGGUCAACACAGUGGCCUCACCUGAAAUUUGCAUAUAUGCAAAACAGAAUUCCAACCCAUAAUUAUCAAGAGCAGAGUCUUAUAUCAGAGUUGCAUUGUUGGAUAGGAUAUCAUGGUUUCCAACAGAAAAAAUCCUCGUAGAGUGCCAACAUACUGCUAUUAUUACUCUUUUAGAAGGAAUCUAAAUGCAGAUAAAGUUAGAAUCAAGCAAAUAUGAAAUACCAGUAAAAUCAUUUAUUUACCUAUCACAUACUUAUAUU